rnacentral:rRNA from 1 species
GGCUUGUUGAUUAUAAUUUCAAGUCUGGCCUGCCCAAUGAGAAUUUUAAUGGCCGCGGUAUCUUGACCGUGCAAAGGUAGCAUAAUCACUAGUUUUUUAAAUGGAAGCUUGAAUGAAAGGUUUAAUGAGAAAAUAGCUGUCUCUGUAAAGGUUAAUUAGAAUUUUAUUUUUAAGUGAAAAAGCUUAGAUGUUUAUAGAAGACGAGAAGACCCUAUAGAGUUUUAUAUUUACUAGAAAAUAAAAGUUUAAGGAGAAGGAAAUUUAUUUUUAUAGAUAAUAUUUUGUUGGGGUGAUAGGAAAAUUAGAGAAACUUUUCUUACAUAUAAACAUUAAUUUGUGAGUUUAUGAUCCUAAAAUUUAGAUUAUAAGAUUAAAUUACCUUAGGGAUAACAGCGUAAUUUUUUUUAGAGUUCUUAUCGAAAAAAAAGUUUGCGACCUCGAUGUUGGAUUAAAAUUAAUUGCUGGUGCAGUAGCUAGUAGAUUUGGUCUGUUCGACCUUUGAAAUUUUACAUGAUCUGAGUUUAAACCGGCGUGAG